GCUACCAUGGUGCAGUCGUUAGCAUACCCGCCUCCCAUCACAAAGUAUGUGGUAAGCGGGAGACUCGGGUUCAAAUCCCGAUGGCAGCA